rnacentral:tRNA from 3 species
GCCGAGGUAGCCUAGCCUGGCCAAGGCGGCAGAUUCGAAAUCUGCUGUCCGUUCGGACUCAAGGGUUCAAAUCCCUUCCUCGGCG